rnacentral:misc_RNA from 1 species
GAUGAAGAACGUAGCGAAAUGCGAUAAGUAAUGUGAAUUGCAGAAUUCAGUGAAUCAUCGAGUCUUUGAAUGCACAUUGCGCCCCCUGGUAUUCCGGGGGGCAUGCCUGUCCGAGCGUCAUUGCUGCCCUCAAGCACGGCUUGUGUGUUGGGCCGUCGUCCCCCUCCUAGGGGACGGGCCCGAAAGGCAGCGGCGGCACCGCGUCCGGUCCUCGAGCGUAUGGGGCUUCGUCACCCGCUCCGUAGGCCCGGCCGGCGCUUGCCGACGACCAUCAAUCUCUUUCUCCAGGUUGACCUCGGAUCAGGUAGGGAUACCCGCUGAACUUAAGCAUAUCAAUAAGCGGAGGA